UAGGGAAUUUUGCGCAAUGGGCGAAAUGCCUGACGCAGCGACGUCGCGUGUGGGAUGAAGGGUUUCGGCUCGUAAACCACUGUCAGAUGGGAAGAUGGGGUAAGUAACUAAUAAUUACUUAUGCUGACUGUACCAUCAGAGGAAGCACCGGCUAACUACGUGCCAGCAGCCGCGGUAAUACGUAGGGUGCAAGCGUUACUCGGAAUCAUUGGGCGUAAAGGGUGUGUAGGCGGAAUGGUAAGUCAGGUGUGAAAGCCUUGGGCUCAACCCAAGAAGUGCAUUUGAUACUGCUGUUCUAGAGUUCAGGAGAGGAAGGCGGAAUUCCCGGUGUAGAGGUGAAAUCCGUAGAUAUCGGGAGGAACACCAGAGGCGAAGGCGGCCUUCUGGACUGAUACUGACGCUGAGACACGAAAGCAUGGGUAGCAAACAGG
rnacentral:rRNA from 1 species